GAUGAACGCUGGCGGCGUGCCUAAUACAUGCAAAUCGAGCGAACGGACGAGAAGCUUGCUUUUCUGAUGUUAGCGGCGGACGGGUGAGUAACACGUGGAUAACCUACCUAUAAGACUGGGAUAACUUCGGGAAACCGGAGCUAAUACCGGAUAAUAUUUUGAACCGCAUGGUUCAAAAGUGAAAGACGGUCUUGCUGUCACUUAUAGAUGGAUCCGCGCUGCAUUAGCUAGUUGGUAAGGUAACGGCUUACCAAGGCAACGAUGCAUAGCCGACCUGAGAGGGUGAUCGGCCACACUGGAACUGAGACACGGUCCAGACUCCUACGGGAGGCAGCAGUAGGGAAUCUUCCGCAAUGGGCGAAAGCCUGACGGAGCAACGCCGCGUGAGUGAUGAAGGUCUUCGGAUCGUAAAACUCUGUUAUUAGGGAAGAACAUAUGUGUAAGUAACUGUGCACAUUUUGACGGUACCUAAUCAGGAAGCCACGGCUAACUACGUG
rnacentral:rRNA from 1 species